ensembl:misc_RNA Y_RNA Y RNA
GGCUGGUCAGAGUACAGUGGUGUUUACAGCCAUAAUUGAUCACAACCAGAUACAGAUUCCUUUGUUCUUUCUCCACUCCCACUAUGCCACUUGACUAGCUUAAA